UACGUAGGGCGCAAGCGUUGUCCGGAAUUAUUGGGCGUAAAGAGCUCGUAGGCGGUCUGUCGCGUCGGCUGUGAAAACCCGAGGCUCAACCUCGGGCCUGCAGUCGAUACGGGCAGACUAGAGUGCUGUAGGGGAGACUGGAAUUCCUGGUGUAGCGGUGAAAUGCGCAGAUAUCAGGAGGAACACCAAAGGCGAAGGCAGUGUCCUGGGGAGUACCUGACGCUCAGGUGCGAAAGCCAGGGGAGCGAACGGG
rnacentral:rRNA from 1 species